rnacentral:rRNA from 1 species
GACGAACGCUGGCGGCGUGGAUUAGGCAUGCAAGUCGAACGGUAUCAUCCUUUCGGGGGUGAGAGAGUGGCGAACUGGUGAGUAACACGUAGGUUAUCUACCCUCAAGACGGGGACAACCCAGGGAAACUUGGGCUAAUACCGGAUGUGAGCAACUUUUAGUUGUUUGAAAGGUGGCGUAAGCUGUCGCUUGGGGAUGAGCCUGCGUCCUAUUAGUUAGUUGGUGAGGUAACGGCUCACCUAGGCAAUGAUAGGUAGGCGGCCUUAACGGGUGGUCGCCCACACUGGGAUUGAGAUACGGCCCAGACUCCUACGGGAGCAGCAGUCGAGAAUAGUCUACAAUGGUCGGAAGACUGAUAGUGCGACGCCGCGUGAACGAUGAAUCCCUUCGGGGUUAAAGUUCUUUUAUAUGUGAGCAGUGCUUCUUAUAUUAACAGUAUGGGGAAGAGAUAUUAGCAUAUGAAUAAGCAACGGCUAACUCCGUGCCAGCAGCCGACGGUAAACACG